UACGUAGGGGGCAAGCGUUGUCCGGAUUUAUUGGGCGGAAAGAGCGUGUAGGCGGCCAGAUAGGUCCGUUGUGAAAACUGGAGGCUUAACCUCCAGCGGUCGAUGGAAACCAUCUGGCUAGAGUCCGGAAGAGGAGAGUGGAAUUCCUGGUGUAGCGGUGAAAUGCGCAGAUAUCAGGAAGAACACCCGUGGCGAAAGCGGCUCUCUGGGACGGUACUGACGCUGAGACGCGAAAGCGUGGGGAGCGAACAGG
rnacentral:rRNA from 1 species